AGAGUUGAUCCUGGCUCAGGAUGAACGCUAGCUACAGGCUUAACACAUGCAAGUCGAGGGGCAGCAUUGGAGUAGCAAUACUCAGAUGGCGACCGGCGCACGGGUGAGUAACACGUAUCCAACCUGCCGCUUACUCGGGGAUAGCCUUUCGAAAGAAAGAUUAAUACCCGAUGGUAUAAAGAGUUCGCAUGUUCUCUUUAUUAAAGAAUUUCGGUAAGCGAUGGGGAUGCGUUCCAUUAGAUUGUUGGCGGGGUAACGGCCCACCAAGUCUACGAUGGAUAGGGGUUCUGAGAGGAAGGUCCCCCACAUUGGAACUGAGACACGGUCCAAACUCCUACGGGAGGCAGCAGUGAGGAAUAUUGGUCAAUGGACGGGAGUCUGAACCAGCCAAAAGUAGCGUGAAGGAUGACUGCCCUAUGGGUUGUAAACUUCUUUUAUAAGGGAAUAAAGUGAGGGACGUGUCCCUUUUUGUAUGUACCUUAUGAAUAAGGAUCGGCUAACUCCGUGCCAGCCGCCGC
rnacentral:rRNA from 1 species